rnacentral:rRNA from 1 species
GGGCCCGCACAAGCGGCGGAGCAUGCGGAUUAAUUCGAUGCAACGCGAAGAACCUUACCAAGGCUUGACAUGGGCAGUAAUCCGGCAGAGACGUCGGGUCCGCAAGGGCUGUUCACAGGUGGUGCAUGGCUGUCGUCAGCUCGUGUCGUGAGAUGUUGGGUUAAGUCCCGCAACGAGCGCAACCCUUGUCUCAUGUUGCCAGCACGUUAUGGUGGGGACUCGUAAGAGACUGCCGGGGUCAACUCGGAGGAAGGUGGGGACGACGUCAAGUCAUCAUGCCCCUUAUGUCCAGGGCUUCACACAUGCUACAAUGGCCGGUACAAAGGGCUGCGAGACCGUGAGGUGGAGCGAAUCCCAAAAAGCCGGUCUCAGUUCGGAUUGGGGUCUGCAACUCGACCCCAUGAAGUCGGAGUCGCUAGUAAUCGCAGA